AUAAAAGCAAAGAUUUGAUAGCAUCAAACUAAGCAUGAAAAAAAAAAUGAAAAACUCAAGAUAAGAUACGCUGUCUACUAGCAGAAAACAGGGGCCUCAUUCUUUCUUAAUGCCAUUGGGGAUUGGGCUGAGUUGUACUGCUGGAGAAUUGGGCUGCUCUUCCCGGGUAACCAUGCCAUCACCAAGCUUUUGGAAGUAAGGAUCAUUAGGACCAAGCUUUUCCUUAAACCAGUUUGGAAAGCUAAAGCAAGCAUUUCUCCACAGUUGUGCUAUGUUUCUUUUGGGAGCACAACAGACUGGAAGAACGGGAUGAUGUAUCCUGCCAAUAUGUGCCCUUAUAUUCCUUCUUUAAAUUGAUAAAUGGGUUACUUGCCUUACCUUGCCAAAUGAAUGGCAGCCCUUUUUUCACUCCUGGACGCAGAUGGUCACAGAUCAUCUGAAAUCCACCUCCAAUAAGCAUUAUAAAGGCUACAUCAGCAUCCUGGAGGUGCUAAGAAAGCUAAUUUGGCUGUAAAAA
rnacentral:misc_RNA from 1 species